GGUCAAGUUAGAAAGGGCGUACGGUGAAUGCCCUGGCAUCGGAGGGCGAUGAAGGACGUAGGAGGCUGCGAUAAGCCACGGGGAGGAGUCAACCAUCCUUUGAUCCGUGGAUUUCCGAAUGGGAAAACCCAGUCCCGGUAAAGCGGGAUUAUCAUGCACUGAAUUCAUAGGUGUAUGAGGCAGACCCGGGGAAGUGAAACAUCUCAGUACCCGGAGGAAAAGAAAUCUAAUGAGAUUCCCUCAGUAGCGGCGAGCGAAAGGGGAAGAGCCCAAACCGACCCUAACACAAAGCACAAAACAGUGCCAUAGUUCCUAAGUCAGAAGUUCCAUAGUAAAGCUUCCGGACUUUGGCGCUACGGACUUUGCUUUUUUGGUCUUUGUGUUAGGGUCGGGGUUGUAGGACCGCGUAAGUAGGAACACUGCAUUAUAGCUGAAUGUUCUGGAAAGGACAUCCAAAGAAGGUGAUAGGCCCGUAAGCGAAAUGGUGCAGAAACCGAAGCGGUAUCCUGAGUACCAUAGGACACGUGGAAUCCUGUGGGAAGCUGGGGAGACCACUCUCCAAGGCUAAAUACCAUCUGAUGACCGAUAGUGCACUAGUACCGUGAGGGAAAGGUGAAAAGAACCCCGGUGAGGGGAGUGAAAUAGAACCUGAAACCGUAUGCCUACAAGCAAUCGGAGCUUGCCGCAAGGCGAGUGACGGUGUGCCUUUUGAUUAAUGAGCCGGCGAGUUACUGGCUGUAGCAAGGUUAAGUCCUUAAGGGACGGAGCCGUAGGGAAACCGAGUCUUAAUAGGGCGUUUAGUUACAGUUAGUAGACCCGAAGCCAGGUGAUCUACCCAUGGUCAGGGUGAAGGUGAAGUAAAAUUCACUGGAGGCCCGAACUGAUGUUUGUUGCAAAAAGCUCGGAUGAACUGUGGGUCGGAGCGAAAGACUAAUCAAACCUGGUGAUAGCUGGUUCUCCCCGAAAUGCAUUUAGGUGCAGCCUCGGAGUAGUCUUACGGGGGUAGGGCACUGGAUGGGAUAGGGCCUCGAAUGGGGUACCAAACCCAACCAAACCACGAAUACCGUGGAGACGUUCUCCGGGAGUGAGACUGCGGGUGCUAAGAUUCGUAGUCGAGAGGAAAACAGUCCAGACCGUCAGCUAAGGUCCCUAAAGGUGUUCUAAGUGGAAAAGGAUGUAGUGUUGCUUAGACAGCCAGGAUGUUGGCUUAGAAGCAGCCAUCAUUUAAAGAAAGCGUAAUAGCUCACUGGUCAAGCGACACUGCGCCGAAAAUUUAUCGGGGCUAAGUACACUACCGAAGCUACGGAUUCAUCGCAAGAUGAGUGGUAGGGGAGCAUUCUGCGGACCUGUGAAGGUGAGGCGUGAGCCUUGCUGGAGGGGGCAGAAGAGAUUAUGCCGGCAUAAGUAGCGCAAAUUCUGAUGAAAAGUCAGGACGCCGUAAACCUAAGGUUUCCUGGGGAAGGGAAAUCCGCCCAGGGUUAGUCGGGCCUAAGGCGAGGCUGAAAAGCGUAGCCGAUGGACAACUGGUUAAUAUUCCAGUACCAUCUUGUAUGUGUUUGACCGAAGGGGGGACGCAGAAGGACAGUCUGAGCCUAGUGAUGGUUUAGGUCCAAACACUUAGGCUGGUGAGUAGGUAAAUCCGCUCACCAUUAAAGCUGAUGUGUGACGGGGAAGCCCUCAAGGGUGAACUCAGGCGAUUCCACACUGACGAGAAAAACCUCGUAGGGAAUAUACAGGAUGACCGUACCGCAAACCGACACUGGUAGGUGAGUAGAAGAUACUAAGGCGAUCGAGUUAACCCUCGCUAAGGAACUCGGCAAAAUAACCCCGUAACUUCGGGAGAAGGGGUCCCCCGAUUCGUCGGGGGCGCAGUGAAGAGGCCCAGGCGACUGUUUACCAAAAACACAGGAGGCUGCUAACUCGCAAGAGGAUGUAUAGCCUCUGACGCCUGCCCGGUGCCGGAAGGUUAACAGGAGGGGUCAUCCGCAAGGAGAAGCCCUGAAUCGAAGCCCCGGUAAACGGCGGCCGUAACUAUAACGGUCCUAAGGUAGCGAAAUUCCUUGUCGGGUAAGUUCCGACCUGCACGAAUGGCGUAACGAUCUGGGCGCUGUCUCGGCGAGGGGCUCGGCGAACUUGAGAUACCGGUGAAGACGCCGGUUACCCGCAACUAGACGGAAAGACCCUGUGCACCUUUACUAUAGCUUGACAGUGAGCUUUGGUGAUAUAUGUGUAGGAUAGGUGGGAGGCUUUGAGGCGUGGGCGCUAGUUCACGCGGAGCCGUCCUUGAAAUACCACCCUUAUCUUACUGGGGCUCUAACCUGUCCCCGUGAUCCGGGGAAGGGACACUGUCUGGUGGGUAGUUUGACUGGGGCGGUCGCCUCCUAAAGAGUAACGGAGGCGUCCAAAGGUCUCCUCAGGCUGGACGGAAACCAGCCGUUGAGUGCAAAGGCAUAAGGAGGCUUGACUGCGAGGCAAACAAGCCGAGCAGGUACGAAAGUAGGGCUUAGUGAUCCGGUGGUUCUGAGUGGAAGGGCCAUCGCUCAACGGAUAAAAGGUACGCCGGGGAUAACAGGCUUAUCGCGUCCAAGAGUUCACAUCGACGACGCGGUUUGGCACCUCGAUGUCGACUCAUCGCAUCCUGGGGCUGAAGUAGGUCCCAAGGGUUCGGCUGUUCGCCGAUUAAAGCGGUACGAGAGUUGGGUUCAGAACGUCGUGAGACAGUUCGGUCCCUAUCUGUUGUGGGCGGAGGAGACUUGAGGGGCACUGUCCUUAGUACGAGAGGACCGGGAUGGACAGACCUCUAGUGUUCCGGUUGUCAUGCCAAUGGCAAUGCCGGGUAGCUAUGUCAGGAAGGGAUAAACGCUGAAGGCAUCUAAGUGUGAAGCCCACCCCAAGAUUAGGUCUCCCGUGGAGUAAUCCACCUAAAGGUCUGUGGUAGACCACCACUUUGAUAGGCUGGAAGUGUAAGUGCAGUAAUGCAUUCAGCUUACCAGUACUAAUAGGCCGUGAGGCUUGACCCU
rnacentral:rRNA from 1 species